UUUUGGGAGCUACAAGAAACAUCUAGAAAGACAAGGAAGUGUGAUACAUAGCUAUUGAAAAGAAGAAAUUGGAGGAAGUAGAAGAAGCCGUGAAUAGGAAGAGUAGAUUGCUGAUUUCGCUGCCAAGCAUUGAAAAGUGGGGAUGAGAUGAUCUACUGGUGCUAGUACAUCUACGUUGAAGCUUUAAUAGGCAAAGCUGAAAAGUGGGUUAAAGGUGUUUUGUGGCUUGUGGAAGUGGAGCUAGCAUCGAAGAGUCUCAGAAACUUCAACAAAGACUAAAUUGUCAAGGGUGGUGAUUAGCUAUCAAAGGAAUCAUACAAAUACCCGAGGAAGCAGGGUGUGUGUAAACUUUGUAUCUAGGAGCUCCGUUUGAACACUAUUAGGAAUCCUGGUAUGUAAGAAUGAUAUGUUAUGAUGUUUUAGAGUUAGUUAUUGACAGUAUGUAAAUUAUAUACUCCCGUUCCUUUUGA